CACACGACUGACUAAGGACAUCUCUGAGUGAGGCCAGCACAGAGUCUUGUGCAUUCUAUGAGUUCUAUGGUAAAAGAUAAACAAAAUCUCUCUGGACAGCCCCUUCUAAGAUCCUGUCGCUUUUGGGGCAGUUGGUGUUAACCUCAGGAACUGGAUCUUCACAGGGCGGAGACGGUCUCUUCCCCUGUGUUGGUACCGUGCUCAGCACAAUGGAAUCAUGAUCCUCACUGGGGACUCUCUGCACUGUCAUGAUACCAAGAAAGAAAGAUGGAUUCUGAGGAGAGCUCGGCAUGGUUGGAAGAAGAGAGAUUUUAGCCAAACCUUAUGCAAUCUGUUUUGUGCACUGCUGCCCAAAUCCACACUCACUGUCCAGCUUCUAGCUACAACUGUGCAGUGAGGAUUCCUGCUCUCUGCCUGGAGAAGAUGGUUGUGGGGACCAAGCUACCAGGAGAGGGGGAUUGGUGGAGAAGGUGAGAAAGAAGCAGAGUUUAGAUUGACAGAUGAACCAGUUUGGCUAAAAGAUGAUGCCCCUUCCCUAGAUGACCAGAUGUCCAGUUUUAAAGGGACAGUCCCGUAUUUAAGCCCUCCUGCAGGUGUCCUGACUUUUUCUUAAAAACAGGCAAAUUGUCCCGUACUUUCUGUCUUCACCACCAGUACUGAGGAUCCUGCUGCUGGCCAGAACCCUGCUCGCCAGCCACCCUCCCACCAGCGGACAGAAGCGACUUUGAGUGUACAAAAUGCAGGCUGGUCUCCAUAUUGGAAGAG